rnacentral:lncRNA from 1 species
GGGGAGAAUGCGGGGAGACCGCGUUUAGAGGAUCAGUGGCGGCGGGCCCGCGCGGUGCCGGCGACUAGCAGCGAGAUGUCCUGGCCCCUUCCAGGAGAUGGCCUUGGGAGAGCAACCUCCGGACCUCAGCAGUGUGAGGAUGACAACAGUACCCUGUGGUGCUGUCCCCACUCAGGGUUUCUCUCUGUAGCCCCGACUGUCCUGGAACUCACUCUGCAGACCAGGCUGUCCUCAAGCUCAGAGAUCUACCUGCCUCUGCCUCUGAAGUACUGGGAUUAAAGAUGCAGAGGCCUCCCAGAGAAGUGUGAAGGAAUGGGCCUUAACCAGGGUUGAAGAAAGAAAGUGAAGAAGGGGAGAGCCCAAGGAAAGGUGGGGACAGUUGGAACUUUUGUUUACACUGGUCUACUACUCAUGUAUCGUAUGCUAUAAUCUCCAAAUUCCACAUUUAUUGUAGCUGUCUGCAGUGUGUAUGCCCCGGCCGCAUGCUGCUUGGCUAAAAAAGUGUUAAAUAAAACUGUAAGAAACGCUA